UACAGAGGUCCCAAGCGUUGUUCGGAUUCAUUGGGCGUAAAGGGUGCGUAGGCGGCGCGGCAAGUCGGGCGUGAAAUCUCGGGGCUUAACUCCGAAACUGCAUUCGAUACUGCCGUGCUUGAGGACUGGAGAGGAGACUGGAAUUUACGGUGUAGCGGUGAAAUGCGUAGAUAUCGUAAGGAAGACCAGUGGCGAAGGCGGGUCUCUGGACAGUUCCUGACGCUGAGGCACGAAGGCCAGGGGAGCAAACGGG
rnacentral:rRNA from 1 species